GAUGAACGCUGGCGGCGUGCCUAAUACAUGCAAGUCGAGCGAACAGACGAGGAGCUUGCUCCUCUAACGUUAGCGGCGGACGGGUGAGUAACACGUGGAUAACCUACCUAUAAGACUGGGAUAACUUCGGGAAACCGGAGCUAAUACCGGAUAAUAUAUUGAACCGCAUGGUUCAAUAGUGAAAGACGGUUUUGCUGUCACUUAUAGAUGGAUCCGCGCCGCAUUAGCUAGUUGGUAAGGUAACAGCUUACCAAGGCAACGAUGCGUAGCCGACCUGAGAGGGUGAUCGGCCACACUGGAACUGAGACACGGUCCAGACUCCUACGGGAGGCAGCAGUAGGGAAUCUUCCGCAAUGGGCGAAAGCCUGACGGAGCAACGCCGCGUGAGUGAUGAAGGUCUUCGGAUCGUAAAACUCUGUUAUUAGGGAAGAACAAAUGUGUAAGUAACUAUGCACGUCUUGACGGUACCUAAUCAGAAAGCCACGGCUAACUACGUC
rnacentral:rRNA from 1 species